rnacentral:rRNA from 1 species
GGGGAAUUUUGGACAAUGGGCGUAAGCCUGACUCAGCCAUGCCGCGUGCAGGAUGAAGGCCUUCGUGUUGUAAACUGCUUUUGUACUGAACGAAAAGACUCCUUCUAAUAAAGGGGGUCCAUGACGGUACCGUAAGAAUAAGCACCGGCUAACUACGUGCCAGCAUCCGCGGUAAUACGUAGGGUGCGGGCGUUAAUCGGAAUUACUUGGCGUAAAGCUUGCGCAGGCGGUUAUAUAAGACAGAUGUGAAAUCCCCGGGCCCAACCUGGGACCUGCAUUUGUGACUGUAUUGCUAGAGUACGGUAGAGGGGGGUGGAAUUCCGCGUGUAGCAGUGAAAUGCGUAGAUAUGCAGAGGAACACCGAUGGCGAAGGCAAUCCCCUGGACCUGUACUGACGCUCAUGCACGAAAGCGUGGGGAGCAAACA